GAUGAACGCUGGCGGCGUGCCUAAUACAUGCAAGUCGAGCGAACAGACGAGGAGCUUGCUCCUCUGACGUUAGCGGCGGACGGGUGAGUAACACGUGGAUAACCUACCUAUAAGACUGGGAUAACUUCGGGAAACCGGAGCUAAUACCGGAUAAUAUAUUGAACCGCAUGGUUCAAUAGUGAAAGACGGUUUUGCUGUCACUUAUAGAUGGAUCCGCGCCGCAUUAGCUAGUUGGUAAGGUAACGGCUUACCAAGGCAACGAUGCAUAGCCGACCUGAGAGGGUGAUCGGCCACACUGGAACUGAGACACGGUACAGACUCCUACGGGAGGAAGCAGUAGGGAAUCUUCCGCAAUGGGCGAAAGCCUGACGGAGCAACGCCGCGUGAGUGAUGAAGGUCUUCGGAUCGUAAAACUCUGUUAUUAGGGAAGAACAAAUGUGUAAGUAACUGUGCACAUCUUGACGGUACCUAAUCAGAAAGCCACGGCUAACUACGUG
rnacentral:rRNA from 1 species